rnacentral:rRNA from 1 species
CAGUCGCCACGGGAAUACGUAGGUGGCAAGCGUUGUCCGGAAUUAUUGGGCGUAAAGGGCUCGCAGGCGGUUUCUUAAGUCUGAUGUGAAAGCCCCCGGCUCAACCGGGGAGGGUCAUUGGAAACUGGGAAACUUGAGUGCAGAAGAGGAGAGUGGAAUUCCACGUGUAGCGGUGAAAUGCGUAGAGAUGUGGGGGAACACCAGUGGCGAAGGCGACUCUCUGGUCUGUAACUGACGCUGAGGAGCGAAAGCGUGGGGAGCGAACAGGAUUAGAUACCCCAGUAGUCCCUGUCUCUUAUAC